rnacentral:rRNA from 1 species
GACGAACGCUGGCGGCGUGCUUAACACAUGCAAGUCGAACGGAAAGGCCCUGCGUUUGUGGGGUGCUCGAGUGGCGAACGGGGGAGUAACACGUGAGUAACCUGCCCUUGACUUUGGGAUAACUUCAGGAAACUGGGGCUAAUACCGGAUAGGAGCUCCUGCUGCAUGGUGGGGGGUGGAAAGUUUCGGCGGUCGGGGAUGGACUCGCGGCUUAUCAGCUUGUUGGUGGGGGAGUGGCUUACCAAGGCUUUGACGGGUAGCCGGCCUGAGAGGGUGACCGGCCACAUUGGGACUGAGAUACGGCGCAGACUCGUACGGGAGGCAGUAGUGGGGAAUAUUGCACAAUGGGCGGAAGCCUGAUGAAGAGACGCCGCGUGCGGGAUGACGGCCUUCGGGUUGUAAACCGCUUUCGCCUGUGACGAAGCGUGAGUGACGGUAAUGGGUAAAGAAGCACCGGCUAACUACGUG